AUCAGUGCGUCCAAAGCCCAACCAGUUUGUGUUACCAAACUUGAUUCUGUUUCUGUGUAAACUCCAGUAACACAAGCCUAAAUCAUCCGUUAGUCAAUCUCCCAUUAUCUAUUUUGUAUCCAUACCAUGUAACUCUCACUCCAUCCACCAUCUGGUCUUUGCUUCGACAGUAAAAAUUCGCACGCCUUCUUCUGGACUGGGCAGUUUUCGUAAUAUCGACCGGCUGAUGCCAAAGAACCUGUCGCAAACAUGGCUGCAUACGUAAAACAAAUAGCCCAACUUCCAUACCAGCUUCCGUCUGGUCGUUGCAUCUUUACAACGUAUUCCAAAGCAUUUUCAAUAGUAUUUUCAAUUUCAUCACGACGAUAUCCAGGAUCAUACUUUGUAAAAGCCCGGAGUGCCAAUAUGACAGAUGUGGUGCACUCGGGAUAAGAGUAUUCGACCAUAAUAUUUCCAAAAACUUCGGCAGGAUUUAACAACUCCAUCCAUUCACCUGUUCGCGCAGGCUCAUAUGAAGCAAACCCAAGGUUCUCAUUUUGCAUUCCCAAUAUCACAUCAACCGAUAACCUUAGCCUAGGUAUAUCAACCAGUUUUUCAAAAUCUGGCAAUGAUUGGACAAGCAAUACAGCACGCAGAGCUUCAGAUGUAGUAUCUGACACCGUAUAACCUUGAGUUAUAUUACUAAAUGGCCAUGCCCCCAAAGAAUUGUACCUAUAUCCACUCCCUUCAUAUUGCGUUCGAAUCUAAAUUAAAGUUAGUCAUCGUCUAAUUCAACAUAUUUGGAAAAAAAGAAGCGCACCUGUUGUCGAUCCAAAAACUCCAGAGCUUUGGCGAUAUCUGGUUUGAAGGCCUCUUUUUCGUAAAGACCUGAUUCUACGAGCGCUUGCAAUGUGAAGGAAGUUUCCCAAACUUGCAAACCAUUAGUACCACGCAUAAGCAUUCCUUCUGGUUGGACCCACAUGAAAUCAUGCAAACGUUGAAUGUGCUUUUGGAAAGCUUUACUAGAAGGUCCUUCAUGAAAGUAAACGCAAACAGUGUUCAUUGCUGCAUUUACUGGGCCAAUACAAGAGUAAUCGGUAUUCUGAUCUUCUAUUUUUAUAAGUUCGUAUGCCCGUCGAGUACCCAGUUUUUUAAGCCAAGAGGGUCUUAGAUAAGUAAAAUAUUUUUCCAAUAUCCAAUUCAAACGAUCUAAUAUUUGAGUAUGAGGAAAAUAGAGGUCCACAUCACUAAUCGUAUUUCUAUGAUCCGCAAAAUUAAUGCUGUCAUAGUUUUCUACGUACAACUCCUUUCGCAAUUGCAUUAUUAACGAAUCCUUAGGGCAUUUCAGCCUCUCUCCAUACAUAUAUCCCAUAGGCAAGUAUACUAAACGAACGUGACACCACCAUUUUCCAGGAUGAAAUGGAAUCCAGUCAGGUAAUAACCAUAGUUCUGGGGGGAUAGGGUUAACACCAUCCCAGUCGUAACAGUUAAGUGUAGCGAGCCAAAAUUUUCCCCAAUGCGGGCAUCCAAUAGCUCCUCCAAGUUCAUGUAAUCUGUUACGAGCUCGUGUAGCAACUGGAUGUCCCGCAUCCAUACCCAAAAUUCGAAGAACUACAUAAUUCAUGGAGGUUCCGAAUACAGUAGAAACUCCUUCUGUGUGAAUACCCCAUCCACCAUCGUCAUUUGUGUGAUUAAUUAAGUAUUGGAUAAUUUCUGGAGCCCAACCUUUAGGAAAUGGUGUUUGCGAAAUAUAAAAAGCAAAAACGGCACCGCAAAUGAGAAACAUCGGCCCUUCAUAAGGAGAAGCCCAGUGACCGUCUGGUAGCUGCAAGCGACGAAAAAAUUCAUAACCAUACUCAGCACUCUCUAAUGGAGUUUUCGCUGGAGGUCGUUUAGGUAGAUCCUAAGAAAAGUUAGUAUAUGCCAUAAAACAGAAAACGAUUACUUACUAAAUCAAAACCUAGGAAAUACUUCUCCGCAAUGGUGAGUGGACGCUUUUCAGCCUCUUCUUUUGUAACAUACUCCCAUGUCUCUCCACCAGCUGAAUCGAUAUUCAAGCGCCACAAGCUUUUAUCGAUUUGUUCAACCGUUUUAGAUAAUUCAGGACGGACUCUGCAAGCCUCCAUUUUUUUCGCAAAAAAAUCCUAUCUAUCAAGCAGUUCCAGAAAAGGUGAUUAGACUCGUCUUUACUCUAUGUUAAUUGUAAAUGCAACAAAAUAAUCAAAAAAGGGAUAAAAAGUAGUCUAAAGGGUAUUCAUAUAUCAAUAAUUAUUGCAUUCGUGGUUGGUUCGCAAGAAUGUGCAACUAGUACGAUUGUCAUAUUUCGUUUCGUACCACUACGUAAGUAAACAUAAGAAUUGGAAACACCAUAUCUCGAGCUCAAAAUUAGAAAAAUUUUAUGCUUGUAUAUUUACAAUUCCUUAUGUAAUAUAAAGAACAAGCUCUCUGAAGUAUAAAAAUAAAAGGCCAACAAUCUACAAUA